rnacentral:rRNA from 1 species
GAGGCAGCAGUAGGGAAUCUUCCGCAAUGGACGAAAGUCUGACGGAGCAACGCCGCGUGAGUGAUGAAGGCCUUCGGGUCGUAAAACUCUGUUGUUAGGGAAGAACAAGUGCUAGUUGAAUAAGCUGGCACCUUGACGGUACCUAACCAGAAAGCCACGGCUAACUACGUGCCAGCAGCCGCGGUAAU